rnacentral:lncRNA from 1 species
AUGCCGCUCAAAGGAAAAAGUGAUUCUGGAAAAGGGGGAAAAGGGGGAGCAGCCUCUGGGAGUGACAGCACUGACAAGAAGGCUCAAGGUCCCAAAGGUGGUGGCAAUGAAGUAAAGGUCACACACAUUCUAUGUGAAAAACAUGGCAAAAUCAUGGAAGCCAUGGAAAAGUUAAAGUCUGGAAUGAGAUUCAAUGGAGUGGCCACACAAUAUAGUGAAGAUAAAGCCAGGCAAGAGGGAGACUUGGGUUAGAUGACCAGAGGGUCCAUGGAGGGACCAUUUCAAGAAGCAGCAUUUGCCUUGCCUAUAAGUGGGAUAGAUAAGCCUAUGUUUACAGACCCACCAGUUAAGACAAACUUUGGAUAUCAUAUUAUUAUGGUUGAAUGAAGAAAAUAA